rnacentral:lncRNA from 1 species
AGCAAUAAGAGAGAGAAAACAAAAACCAAACCCUAGAGAGAGAAAAUCAAAGAAAAAGUGUGAAUUUUCAAGGAAAUUAAGUGAAAAAGGUAAGAUUUUUUCGAUUAAGUGUUAGUUUAGCAUGUUAGUAAACAAAAUAUGUAGAAAAACAUUCAUUUUUCGCAUUACCUAGCCUUAGCUGAAUUUUCAAGUCAAUGGUGAGGAAGAAUGUGAUGUUAUUUUAGGUUAUUUGAUUAUGAAAUCAUGGUUUUUGAUAUGGAAAUUAAUGAAUUAUGGAAAGAAAAUCAAGUAGGAAAAAUUGUGACAAUGAUGUACCAUUUUGGCAAAAUUUUUCCAAGAAGGAAUAUGAAUGUGGCUUUGCUGAUUUUUGGGUUAUUUGGCUGGACAUUGGUGAUUUGAAGCAUUAGAAAAAGAAAUGGGAUCAAUUGGAGCUAAAUUAGAUGCGUAUUUCAAUUUAUCGGGUAAAAGACCGGAAUAGGUCAAUACAGUGUUUAGGCAAAAUUUAGACCUUUUGCAUUUCAUACCAUGCAUUAGUGAUCUAAAUUAGUCAUGUCAAUUUAAGGGCAACAUAGUAAAUUCCUUGAUUUUAUACUGUGUCAAGGUGGUGUGCCCUUCGACAAAGGCAAGGAAAUUACGCCUAGGGAUCACGAACCUGAGUACACCCAAAAUCUAAACUUUUGAAACCUGUGAGUAAACCUAUUAUCGUCUGAAUUAUCUAGAGUAGUUUUUAUUCAAUUUUGUGAUUUGUGAAAAUUAUUUUAAAUGAUGAAUUUCUUGUUUUAUGAGAAAAUUAUGAAUUUAUAAAAUAAAUUAAAUUUUUUUAUAAAUUGAUUUGAAAAUAGAAUGUUGGAUUUGAAAAUUUGAGUAAUUGGAGACCAUGUGAUUUACUGUAAAUUAUGAUUUGAAUUAAAUGGCUUGUGAUAAAUUGGCAUGAUUGGCUGAAUUUAUGGUUGUGUUGAAAAAUAUGAACUGUCUGUUUUGCCUUGAUAAAUUGGUUAGUAAUGUAAUUGCCAUGCUAUGCCAUUGAGAUUUGAUCAAUUGGUGGAUUAAAGAUUAGCUACUACAGUGGCGAGGUUCCAUGGACCAACCUAUUAGAGGGGCACGGUAAACUCCUUAAUAUUCUCACCUCGGUCGUAAAGGCGCGUAGGGUAUCUCCUGAGGUAAGCUUUUUGAGUGCACUUCACGUUAACCACCACGUGAAGUGAGACUCAGUAAAUGCCAAGGAACGACUGCUUUUUUUUCAAAAUAAAAAUAAGUUUUAUGAUUAUAUAAAAUUUUUCACAGCCUUGGCAGACUCAGUUGGAUACCCUUGGUCCAGGUGUCCCCGAGUACAAGAUAUGGCAUGAGCCAAGUUUUGAGAAAUUCACGAGUCAUAUUGAUUAUUUGGUUGAAAUGAAUAUUUGUGUUGCGAAAAAUUUACUGAAAUGAAUUAUUUUUAAUUGUCUCCCUUUACUCGCCUUUAAAUAGUUUAGAUGGUGUUUGUUUACUCAUUGGGAUUAUGUAAUCAUAAUCUCACCCCUCUUCCUAUCCAUUUUCAGGCUCAAGACAGUUUAUUGAUAGUUGAUUAAAACGAGAAUUAAUCUUGGAGUUGCAUCUUAGAAAGUAAGGGUUCGUAGCCUUACACCUUCUUGGUCAAUUGAGGGCCCACGUGUCACUGUAAAAGUAAUUUUAUACUUCAGUUAUUUGAUUUAAAGUAUUUAUGAACAUAUUUAUCUUUUACACCAUGUUUUUGGCGAGUUUCUAUAUUUUUGAAGAAAAAUGAUGAAAAUGCCCCUGUGAGCCAGAAAACAAAAUGUUAUGUUUUGAUUUGGAAAUGACUCGUAAUCCUUCGAAUUAUGAUAUUUGAUAACUAUUGCUCAUCGAGAAAGUGUGAAAGCUGAUACGAGAGCCUUGCGAGGUUUCAAUCGGCAUUCGAGGGUGGAAAAUGUCUAUCGAGGCUUCGCGGUGAUUCUCACACGCCCGAUAGGGAGUUUCGGGUCGUGACACUUCAGUUGGUAUCGGAGCAUGGUUUAAAGAUCAGAGAUUUUGGUUUUAAAGCUUUGAAUUUUAAAGUUUUUGGUUUUAAAGUUGUUUUAAGAAAUCCACACUGGCACUGCGUGGCCCCACGUUAAGUUAAGUUAAGUCGAAUAGAAUGCAUGAGUCUGCAUAUAGAGACCUCUUUGUUUUCAGGGUGUAUGAGAGAUUAAGUGAUUGUCGUUUGAUUUCAUAUAGGUUUUGAAGUGUGUUGGAUUACGCUUAACAUGUCUAGGGGGGAUAGUGAUUCUAAUAUUUCACAAAGUGUUAGUGAGGGACAAACAGAUUUCACUGCUGAAAGCCGAUGGUGUCCUGAACUUAAUAAUCUAGAAGGAGAUCCAUUUAGAGUACCUACUAAUUGGGCUCCAUCAGAUUUGGGAGCAAAAGUUAAAAUAAGGGACAGUGCUAGUAAUAGUGAGACUGAUGAGAGUGUUGAUAGUAAUGACGUAAAUCAAGGCAUGAGAAACUUUCUCUUAAAAGGAAUUGAGGAGUAUGCCAAAGGGAGGAAAAAAAUGAGGAUAACAGAAGAAAAAUAUUAUAGUGGGAAAACAUCGGCAUCGGUCGUUAGACAUUCUCCCCCAAGCUAUAGGAGCAAUGUAAGUAAAUGGCAAGAGAAGAAAAAGGGAAACUUGAAACGGACUUGAAAAAGGAUCAAGAUGAUAAUGAUCCUAAAGAUGUUUUGUGCCUUGUUGAAGCUUGUAAUACUGUAAUCCUAGGCAGAUGUAGUAUAAGAAGGAUAAUAAUCCCCUGUAUAAAAGGCUUAAGAGUUGACUUUUGUCUUGUAUAAUAUAAACGGAUGAUGGAGUAGUUGUUUAAAUGACAGAAGGAGUAUAAAAAUCUUUUAGUAUGACAAAGGUAGAUUAGUAAUAUAAGUAUUAAGGAUGAAUAAUUAUCUUAGUGGCAAGAUCGAUUAUUUUAAAUAAGUACUAAAGGUUGAAAUAGGAAGACAUUAAUGGUUCCAGCAAUUAUUAGAUUUAAUAACGAUUAAACCUUGCAGUAUUAUGAAUUGAUCACCAAUUAAUGGGGUUAAGUCAAGGAUUAUAAUAUUGAGUAUGGAGGGAAUUAGAAGGUGAUAUCGUAAAAUUUUAAGAUGAGAAAUAUAAUCGGUAUGACUAUGAGAAUAAUGGGAUACUAUAAAUAAUGAAUCAUUAAGCGUGUGAUGAAGUUGUGAUCUAUUGAACCGUAUGGGAAGACUGUCCUAAGGUGGGACAUAGGACAUGAGGAUUUUUGAAGAUGCUUGUAAAGGGAGAUAUAAAUUGUAAAGAUAUGUUAAUAUUGGUAGUGAAAUAUGCCCUAAAGGAUAACUGUGGCAUAUCACAUAGAUAAUAUAGAUAUGUUGGGGUCAGUAUCCCGAUCAUGCAUCUGUGAUAGAAAAUUUACUCUGCUAAUUGUGGUAUAGACUAAAAAAGGAGUCAAGCCGUUGAGAACGACUAAGGUAGUAACUCCAAAAGUAAAAGAUUUGUUUUAAUUAAGUAGAUUCCAACGGCUACAUUGAAAUAAAUUACCUUGUGGAGUAUUAAGAUCAAUAAUGUAUUGAUCAAAGUCAAAUCUUAAAAAAUAAAGAAGAUGAGAGAUUAAUGAGAAAGGACAUUAAUGUUAUAUAAUGAAUUUGUGAAUAAAGUAUUACGAUGGUGGUAUAGAAAAUGAGUACUAUAAAGGAUUACUAUGAGGAUUUAUAAUUCUUGUAUUAACUCAGUUGAAUGAAAAGUGAUUAAAUGCAGCAACUCUUGUGGUAAACAGCGGAAUAGUGGAGUUGACGUAGAGUCUUGUUUAUAAUCAGUGAUUUCAACACCAAUUAUAAACAGGAGGCUACUUAGACUCUUUAUUUUGGAAAACCACCUAGUGUAAUCCUAAAUGACAUAAAGACUCAUGAUUGAGAGGAUUAUUGCUGAUCAAAUUCUAAAGGGUAAUAAUAGAUAUAAGUGGAGUAUUCAAGUUAAGUUGGAAAUAAAUACGAGGAGCAAAUUAAGAUUCCUUAUAAAGGAGAUAAUAGGGGAAGUUGAGCAUCGAAUAAAAAGAUAAUACCCCACAUUUUCUUUGAAUUUGAUAAGAGAAAUUUUGAGGAUAAAAUUUUAUUUUAAGGGGGGUAGUGCUGUCAACCCCAGUCCUAAAUUAUCUACCAUGUUAUACAUGAGACUGAUAGAGUGAUUGUAUAUUUGAACAGUCCCAGAAGAAUAUUUAAAAGUCGGUAUUGUGCUUAGAAGUACAAGUAAGUCGAUUUAUAUCUCGAACUAAUUAAAAUAGGGAUUUUAAGGUGAAAUUAAGAGUUUAACAGUCCAAGAAUGACUCAAAAUGGUAAUUCGGAGUUCGAGGAUCAAUUUGGAGUCAAACCGAAAUUUUNNNNNNNNNNNNNNNNNNNNNNNNNNNNNNNNNNNNNNNNNNNNNNNNNNNNNNNNNNNNNNNNNNNNNNNNNNNNNNNNNNNNNNNNNNNNNNNNNNNNNNNNNNNNNNNNNNNNNNNNNNNNNNNNNNNNNNNNNNNNNNNNNNNNNNNNNNNNNNNNNNNNNNNNNNNNNNNNNNNNNNNNNNNNNNNNNNNNNNNNNNNNNNNNNNNNNNNNNNNNNNNNNNNNNNNNNNNNNNNNNNNNNNNNNNNNNNNNNNNNNNNNNNNNNNNNNNNNNNNNNNNNNNNNNNNNNNNNNNNNNNNNNNNNNNNNNNNNNNNNNNNNNNNNNNNNNNNNNNNNNNNNNNNNNNNNNNNNNNNNNNNNNNNNNNNNNNNNNNNNNNNNNNNNNNNNNNNNNNNNNNNNNNNNNNNNNNNNNNNNNNNNNNNNNNNNNNNNNNNNNNNNNNNNNNNNNNNNNNNNNNNNNNNNNNNNNNNNNNNNNNNNNNNNNNNNNNNNNNNNNNNNNNNNNNNNNNNNNNNNNNNNNNNNNNNNNNNNNNNNNNNNNNNNNNNNNNNNNNNNNNNNNNNNNNNNNNNNNNNNNNNNNNNNNNNNNNNNNNNNNNNNNNNNNNNNNNNNNNNNNNNNNNNNNNNNNNNNNNNNNNNNNNNNNNNNNNNNNNNNNNNNNNNNNNNNNNNNNNNNNNNNNNNNNNNNNNNNNNNNNNNNNNNNNNNNNNNNNNNNNNNNNNNNNNNNNNNNNNNNNNNNNNNNNNNNNNNNNNNNNNNNNNNNNNNNNNNNNNNNNNNNNNNNNNNNNNNNNNNNNNNNNNNNNNNNNNNNNNNNNNNNNNNNNNNNNNNNNNNNNNNNNNNNNNNNNNNNNNNNNNNNNNNNNNNNNNNNNNNNNNNNNNNNNNNNNNNNNNNNNNNNNNNNNNNNNNNNNNNNNNNNNNNNNNNNNNNNNNNNNNNNNNNNNNNNNNNNNNNNNNNNNNNNNNNNNNNNNNNNNNNNNNNNNNNNNNNNNNNNNNNNNNNNNNNNNNNNNNNNNNNNNNNNNNNNNNNNNNNNNNNNNNNNNNNNNNNNNNNNNNNNNNNNNNNNNNNNNNNNNNNNNNNNNNNNNNNNNNNNNNNNNNNNNNNNNNNNNNNNNNNNNNNNNNNNNNNNNNNNNNNNNNNNNNNNNNNNNNNNNNNNNNNNNNNNNNNNNNNNNNNNNNNNNNNNNNNNUAGUAAAUUCCUUGAUUUUAUACUGUGUCAAGGUGGUGUGCCCUUCGACAAAGGCAAGGAAAUUACGCCUAGGGAUCACGAACCUGAGUACACCCAAAAUCUAAACUUUUGAAACCUGUGAGUAAACCUAUUAUCGUCUGAAUUAUCUAGAGUAGUUUUUAUUCAAUUUUGUGAUUUGUGAAAAUUAUUUUAAAUGAUGAAUUUCUUGUUUUAUGAGAAAAAUAUGAAUUUAUAAAAUAAAUGGAAUUAUAAAAUAAAUUGAUUUGAAAAUAGAAUGUUGGAUUUGAAAAUUUGAGUAAUUGGAGACCAUGUGAUUUAUUGUAAAUUAUGAUUUGAAUUAAAUGGCUUGUGAGAAAUUGGCAUGAUUGGCUGAAUUUAUACUCAUGUUGAAAAAUAUGAACUGUCUAUUUUGCCUUGAUAAAUUGGAUAGUAAUGUAAUUGCCAUGCUAUGCCAUUGAUAUUUGAUCAAUUGGUGGAUUAAAGAUUAGCUACUACAGUGGCAGGGUUCCAUGGACCAACCUAUUAGAGGGGCACGAUAAACUCCUUUAUAUUCUCACCUCGGUCGUAGAGGCACGUAGGGUAUCUCCUGAGGUGGGCCUUUUGAGUGCACUUCACGUUAACCACCAUGUGAAGUGAGACUCAGUCAACGCCAAGGAACGACUGCUUUUUUUUCAAAAUAAAAAAAGUUUUAUGAUUAUAUAAAAUUUUUCACAGCCUUGGCGGACUCAGUUGGAUACCCCUAGUCCAGGUGUCCCCGAGUACAGGAUUUGGCAUGAGCCAAGUUUUGAGAAAUUCACGAGUCAUAUUGAUUAUUUGGUUGAAAAGAAUAUUCGUGUUGUGAAAAAUUUGCUGAAAUAAAUUAUUUUUAAUUGUCUCCAUUUACUCGCCUUUAGAUAGUUUAGAUGGUGUCUGUUUACUCAGUAGGAUUAUGUAAUCAUAAUCUCACCCCUCUUCUUAUCCAUUUUUAGGUUCAGGAUAGUUUGUUGAUAAUUGAUUAAGACGAGAAUUAAUCUCGGAGUUUCAUCCUAGAAAGUAAGGGUUCAUAGCCCUACACCUUCUUGGUUAGUUGAGGGCCCACGUGUCACUAUAAAAGUAAUUUUAUACUUUAGUUAUUUGAUUUAAAGUAUGUAUGAACAUAUUUAUCUUUUACACCAUGUUUUUGGUGGGUUUCGGUAUUUUUGAAAAAAAAUGACGAAAAUGCCCUUGUGAGCUAAAAAACAAAAUGUUAUGUUCUGAUUUGGAAUUGACUCGUAAUCCUUCGAAUUACAAUAUUUGAUAACUAUUGCUCACUGAGGAAGUGUGAAAGCUGAUACGAGAGCCUUGCAAAGUUUCGAUCAGCAUUCGAGGGCGAAGAAUGUCUAUUGAGGCUUCAUGGCGGUUGUUAUAGGCUUGAUGGGGAGUUUCGGGUCGUGACACUUUUAUUAUCUCCGAGAUAUAUAAUGAGGGAAUGAAUUACACUAAUAGAUUGUACAUUAAAAGGUUGUCAAAGAACCCUUUGAUUCUCCUAACAAUUGGGUGGCCAUGAUGCAUUGCUAGAUUCCAAUCUUGGUCUUUGGAAUUGAUUGUAAAUUAAUUGAUUGAAAUUUAUGUUAAUCAAUUAAGUCAUUAAUUAAUUUCAUUGCCAACAUAUUAGGAACCUAAUAGGUCACACACAAUGAUUGCAUUUGAAUUAAAUUGGAAGAGUGAUGAUUUAAGUUAGACUUAAAUCACAUGCUAGGUAAUUAACUUCUAUAAACUUAAUUAAAAGGAUUUAAUUAAGUUUUAGGCAUAAUAAUAAAUAGUUAUAAUUAGAAGGCCUUGAUUGCAAAAUGUAAAGGAAGUUAAUUUUGAUUUUCAUUUCCAAGGACUUGAUUAAAAGAGUUUAAUUAAGUAAUGGACCCAAUAUUAUAGUGUGUUAUAAUAUUGAGGGCUUAAUUGUAAAAUUGAAGUUAUUUUAACUUAACUAUAUAAGUCAUCUUUUAACUAUUUUCCAUAAGAGAGUUUUUCAUAAUUAAAGAAAACCUAUUUUUUUCUCAAAAAAAGAAAAAAUGUUUUCUCUCUUUGCCGCCACUCCCUUUGUGAGAAAAAGAAAAAUUGCUUUGAAGCAAUUUUAAUGAGGUUUGGCUAAGAUUGUGAAAAGAAGAAUAAGGUAAUUGUUGUCCCCUUUACUAGCACGAAGUAUAGUUAAAAACUCCUUCCUUUGUUGAAGGUUUAUGUGUAAUUGUGUGUACUAUCAUUACAGUGCAAGCACUUGAUUGGUUGGGGUUUUUCUCUCCUUGUGGUGUUCACGGGAUUACUUCGGGAAGUGCCAUUGUGAUUACGAAAUUACUUGGCAAGGUAACUUUCUGAAUGAAAAUUAAUUUUGUUCUUUUAUGUGUUAAAUAUCACUAAGGUGGUCCAUGGGCAGAGGCAUGUUUUGGUUGUUUAGUUCUAUAGUUUUAAUUUUUCUUUUCACUGCGUAUUUUAAGCAUGCUGUCCAUAGCCAAACCCAUCAAUGGCUUAUAUGAUGAUUUCCAUCUAAGAUACUAUGUUAUGUAUAUGAUUUGUUUUCCAUAUACUACAUGAGCUGUUUGAGGAUGGAUGAUGAAUUCUAUGAGAUUAUGUAUGUAAUGCAUAUUUUGCAUAUGAUAUGAUGAAAGAGUAGGUAAGAGGAAAUGCCAUGAGAUGUGUAUAUGAUGUGAAAUUCCACAUACCUUAUGAGAUGAGUAUGCAUGUAUGUGAUGGACAUUCCACGUUCUAAAUGCUAUGAGUAUAAGAAUUUAAGACUUUAAUGUAUACGAUUGAUUUCACUCACAGAAGGUGUAGUGACGACUUCACUCCUAUAAUACAUUAUAAACGGGAAAGAUGCAAUGGGGUUGUACAUUGCCGACCCAAGGUUGAUGGGGGUGGUACCAUCACAAUGUGUUAGUUUAAUGUUAAUGGAAUGAUUAUGAUUAUUAUCUUUAUGAAAUGUUGUAUGUUAAGUUCAUCUUGAUUUGUAAAACCUGACCCUAUAAACACAUGUCAUGACAUACAUGCAUUGAGUAGCAUAUUAUUACACUAGAAAAGUCCCUAAGAAUAGACGAAAUCCGGUAUUGUACCUAACAAUACACUUGAGUUGAUUUAACCUCAAACUAGUUUAAAUAGGAAUCGUAGGAUAGAAUUUAAUAUUUUACAGUUUAGGAAUGACUAAAAAUGAUUAUUUGGAGUUUGAGGGUUCAUUUGGGGAAAAAUUAAAAAUUUUGAUAUUUAGGGGCAAAACCGUCAUUUUGCUACCUAAGAUAAUAAUUUGAUCAUGGAGUGAAAUUUGUGAUCAAGAUUAACUAUUUGGAGUAUAAUUUAAUGAUAGGAAGUGAAAAAUUCUAAUUUCGACAAUUUUUGAAACAUAGGGGCAAAACGGUAAUUUUGUUGCCCCGGGGUAAAACCGUAAUUUUAACCAGCCAAAACUUGUCAAAAUCAUAGGAUUUAUUUAUUUCUGGUAUGAAUAACUAUGAUAUUUUAAGUGGUGAAAAAUGGAAGUUUAAAGGACGAAAUUUUAAAAACGGGCCAAUGGAAAAGUGACACAUGGCACUUUUUAAUGAUUUAAUAUUAUUUUAAAGGAAAAUCAGCCCAUUUAAACCCCACAUCAGGUGAUGGUCUGCCAUAAGGAGAAAAUAAGAGAGAAAAUAGAGAGGAAAGGAAGAAAAGAUAAAAACCAAAGGAAAACUAGAAAAUUCAAAGGGGAAUUCACGUUUUUCGUUCGUUUAUGCGUCUAACGGUAAGAUUUUUUUGCUUUAGCUUGAUUUCUACCUUUCCUAUGCCUUUUUUACCAUUUAGCAUGCUUGAGGAGAGAGAUCAAACAGUGAUACCAAGGGCUGGCCCAAUUUCAAGGGGAAGGAUUUUGAAAUUUUUAUGUUUUGAUUCUUAGUUAAAUUCGUAGUUUUAGUUAAUUAAAUGUGUAUAGAAAUCAAAUUGGGCAAGAAAGCAUGAAAUUCUCACAAUACCCACCCUUGGCCGAAUUGUCAAUGAUGUACAAUGAUGAUGAACUGAUUUUUAUUCUAAGAGAAAUGAAGAGAAAAUGAUGAAAAAUGGUUAAAUGUGAUAGAAAAACAAAGUGAAAAAUUAACCGAGUUAAUGUCCCACUUUUGGCCGAAUUUUUCAAGGAGGAAAGUGAGCUGAUUUUGGUGAUUUUAGAGGGUUAUUGGCUGAUAUUUAAUGGUUAGAAAUGUUGGAGAGAAAAUAGGACAAUUUAGAGCUAAAAUGGAGCGCGUUAGCAAUUUAUCGGGUAAAGUGCCAAAAAUAGGUUAAUACCGUGUUUAAGUCGUUUUAGGCUAUUGCAUUUCAUACCAUGCAUUAGUAUAGGAUUUAAGUCAAUUAUAUAGUGAUUUAGCAUCAAUGUGGUGAAUUGUGUAAUUUUUACAAUGUGUCUAAGAGGAGAGCCUUCCGGUAAAGGCAAGGAAGUCAUACUUGACAAAAAGUGAUCGGGGCACCUAGAAAGCAUUUAAUUUGUAUAAACUGUGAGUAAACCUAUUAUUAUUGUAAAUUAUCUAAAGUUUAUUUUUAAAUUCGCUUUAUGUAUUUUAUGAAACGAAAAUGAGAUUAAAAUGGAACUUUUGAUGUUUUAGAAAUAAGUGUGACAAAUAAAUAUAUUGUGUUGAUUAUUUGAAAUAAAAAACUUUUGAUUAUGAAAUUGAGUAAUUGAAGGCUGCCAAUUGUCUUGAAAAAUAUAUUUUCCUAUGAAUGGCUUAUGAUAUAUGAGUAUAUGUGGCUAUAUUUUAUAAUUGCAUUGAGAAUUUUUGUAAGUUGUCUUUUACUAUGCAGGUUGGGUAAAUAAAUAAAAGCCACGUUAUACUGUCGAAAUUUUAUUAAAGUUGGUGGGUUUAGUCACUACAGUAAAGGGUUUCCGUGGACUGCCUAUUAGAGGGGUACGGUAAACCCAGUUACAUAGUUACUUCGAUUGUAGAGGCGAGGAGGGUAACUCCCGGGGUAGUGUUAGAGCUCACUUCACAUCGAACCCCCACGUGAAUGUGUAACUUAGCCAACGCCAAGGAACAGCUUGUUUUCAACACUAACAUGUGUUUAACAUGUAAAUAUCUUAACAACCUUGGCCGACUCGGUUAGAUGCCUCGGCCAAGGUAUCCCCGAGGACUAGUUUUGGCUUGAGCCCUGUUUUUAAUAAAAGCCAUAAGCCUUAACAACUAUUUUGGUAAAUUACAAAUAUUUUAUGGUUUAAGAAAUAAAUUGAAAACCUUAUGAAAUGGUUUGUGAUUUGUUGUUUAAACUUGCCUCCAUUUUACUCACCUUUAGAUAUUUAUAAUAAUGUUUGUUUACUCAUUGGGAUGGUAAAAUAUCACCCACCUACUUUCCAAAUAUUUCAGGCUUGUGGUAGCUUGUAGAUACCCGAUUUUAUCGAGGAUUCUAGUUGACCCCUCUAUCUCACAGACAGUAGGUUACUAUCACCAACACUUGGUGUAUUUAUGGGCCACUUGUCAUUGUAAUUAUUAUUGUACAUUAUAACUUUGUAAACUAUUGAAUGUAUGAAUUUAUUUUACUUCCACGUUACAAAAGAUUACUUACACGUGUUUCUAUAAAUAUUGUUUUAUAUAAAAAUAAUAUAUUUUAAUUAAUAUUUUAAAUAGUAAUAUUUGUCUAUAAAUCCUUUUAAAAACAAAAAUAUAUUUUUGUCUUUUGAUUUACUUGAGUCUGAAAUGACUGGUAAUUGUUUAAAACGGAAUGUUUAACAAUGAUUGCACACAGGAAAGGCAAGAAACUGAUACGUAAGCCUUGAGGAGUUCCGAUUGGCAUUCCGUGUAAUAAGUGUCAAUCGGGACGUCGCGACGGUUGUCAUAGGCCCGAGGGGGGUUCCGGGUAGUGACAUGAUUAAUGUUUGCGAUCCAUACUCUAUGUUGGCAUGAAAAUGUGAUUAGAGAAAUGAAAUGAGCUGUAAAGAUAGUCUUAAGUGGUAAGGGGAGUUAAGGAAUGGCAAAAAUACACAAAUUUACCUAGAAAAUAAUGUUUCAGAGGCUAUCUGUCGAUUCAUGUAGAACAUCUAUCGAUAGAUAGUAUACAGAAUGAAACAAAACGCAUUUUGCUUAAAAUUUAUCUAUAAAUGAGUUCCAAAAUUGUACGCAUUGGCUUAUUUGAAAUCUUUUUAAAGGUAAAACGAUUUUCCAGUGGUUAUUCACACUUGCUUACAUCAUAUGUGCUAUUUCGAUGUGUUUAAACACCAUUUUUCAUGAGAUUAAAGUUUAAAUUGAUUAUAAAUGGCAUAAGAUUAUAAGUGCUUGAUUACAAAACAAUCUUAUCCCCUAGCUUGUCCCCUUUUUGUAUCCACUCACGGAGUCUUUAUGACUCAUAUGUUAUUUUCCCCAUUUAUUCCGUUGUAGAUUAGUGAUAGUAAUCUAAUAACAGCUAAUGUUAUGGAUACAAGUGUCUAGUCUUCAUUCUUUGGUAGGUGUCUAGCAGCCUUUAAUGCCUAGAGCGGUCGCAUUCCACUGACAAGUCGAUCAUAUGUUCAUAUUUAUGGAUUUGAUUAUGUUUAUGGAUUAUAAACAUGUUAUGUUAAUGUAGCUUAUGUUUGGGCAUUUUACAUUGAGAAUGUUAUGUAUGAGAUUAUGAUAAUGGCUUGAGAGCCUACACGAACACUUGAAGGUUUGGUUGACAGCUAAUGUUAUUGUGCACUAUGACAAUGGCACUUUUUCAUAUAUAUAUAUAUAUAUAUAUAUCAAAUGCUUAACCUUAUAGAAUUUACUUGAGAAGUUCCUUAAUUGUAUAAUGAGUAGUAUGAAUCAUACAUGAUGAUUUCGUAUGUAAAGAGAUGUUAUAAGUUGGUUCCACAUGUAAUGAUGAAUAUUUAAUGAUGUUUAUGAUAUUUGCUUUGGCCUAGCAGGUUAUGUUCGUCAAGGUCCAUACAUUGGUCAUGAUCUGUGAAACCUCGACCUUCAUAGACACGUAACUAGAGGUCGAACUUAUGUUAAAGGUUUCAUUUGAGCUAAUGAUGCUAGUUUUAUGUUACUUAUAAUUAUUUUAUGUCAUUAUAAGAGUAGGAUUAAAAAAUGAUUUCAAUUGGUGAAGAAAGGUGCAUAGUGGGUUGUUGCUCUAUUUGCAUAUGUUUUGGUUUUUCAAUCAUAUCUCUAACUAUAGAAGUUUAAAUGACAUGAUUUUUAAACCAUUAGAAAGAUAAGAGGCAAGGAUACAACUUUAAUGUGUACCACUUUGCCUAGUUUUGAUGGGAAGAUGGUCAAAAUCUUCAUCGAAUUGGAAGUACUACACUAGGAGAACAUAUUCAAACAGAAUGUUUGAGCGCCACAGUGUUGGAAAUUGAGAGUCACGACCUUCACCGUAAUUUUCACAAAUAAUAAGUUUAGGGCAUUUUUGAAGCUAGGACUUUUGAGAGCUACUUAAGGGACCUCUUUCAGAAGAUUUUGGACCUAUUCCAGUGUCAAAAGAGUAAAAGAUUGCAUAAGAAAAAGAGGAAGACAAGUGGCCUUGUUAAAGGCAUUAUUGUAAUUGCAUGAAGAUUUAGAUAAGCUUUAACUAUAAAAAUCCCAUUCUUCCAACAACUUCUUCAAAUUUUCAGCACUUUUUCUUCUUUUUCUUCUUCUUCCUUUCUCAUGUUUUCUCACCUUCCAUGGAAGCUUGGUUUGAAACUUCCAUAGAUUUUAUCGAGUUAACCCUAAUUUUCAUGUUUUUGUGCACCCUUUCACAAAGUUCUUUGUGCUUUUUUACUUUUUCACCAUAAAGCCCUCAAAAGCCUUUCCCUAAUACUUUCUCUCACUAGUUGGACAUUCUAGAGAGAGAAAGAGGGAGACUUUUCCCAAGAAAUUGAAAACUUUUGAAAGGGAAUUCAAUUACCAAGCUAGCAAGGUGAGUAUUGAAAUUGAGUUGAUAUUUUUAAUUGUUGAGGAUGGUUGGUGGUUAGAUCUGUGAGUGUUUUGUAGUUAAGGAUUCAUUUGUUUUAGUAUGAUUAGAGCAGUGAAAAUAGAUAGCCACUUAAUGGUAGUUGGAAACUAGAUAUGAAUAACUAGCAGAACAUGAUUUAGGAGAUAACUUCUAGAACAAUAUGUAGUACCCCGUAUUUUUUAUACGGUGGCUAAUAAAGUUUACGGAUGCCAAUUGAGGUUAAUUACUGAGUUAAAAAGGAUAAUUCAGAAGUGAACCUGUGAAAUCUCGAUCUUUAUAGACAUAUAACUGAAGUAGACGAGAUAAUGCGAACUAAGGGUAAUUUCGUAAUUUCUCUUGGUGAGCUCCUACAAGUGGGUUUGUUUUAUGCUAUUAAGUUCUAAAUAGGCCUAAGGAAUGAAUAAAUGAUGUUUAUGAUGGUAAAUAAAUGAAGAAGAUAAAAAUAAUGAUAAUUUCUACGAUAGGGGUAAAAUGGUCAUUUUGCAUCUUGAGUAUAAAUUUUUAUGUUUUCAUGAACCCGAGUAUUUCUAGACUAUUAUGUACCUUGCUCCAAUGUCAAAAGAGUAAACGGUUGCAUAAAGGAUGGGAGGAAGAAAAGCCACCAUGUUAAGGGUAUUUUGGUAAUUUCAGUGGAAAUUUAGAUUAACUUGAACCAUAAAUAUCUAAGCUCCAGCAACUUCUUCUUCUUUUUCUUCCUCCCAUUUCAUGUUCCUUUUAUCCUCCAUGGAUGCUUGCUUUGCAACUUCCAUAACUCUCUCUUUAGCUCCAAUUUUUAUGCCUUUGUGCACUUUUUUAUAUAACCUUUGUGCUAUUUCACUCUCUCACUUUAAAACUCUUAAAAAGUCUUUGUUCAGUACUUUCUCUCACUAGUUGGAAAUUUUAGAGAGAGAAAGAGAGAGAGAGAGAGAGAGAGAGAGAGAGACUUUCCAUGAUAGCUUGAGUAUUUUUGAGAAGGAAUUCAACUACAAAUCCACUAAAGUGAGUAAUGAAUGAGGAUUGAUUUUAGGUUGUUGAUAAUGGCUAGUAAUUGGAGUUGUGAGUUGUUUUAUUAUUGAGGGUUGUUUAUUUAUUUCUAGAGUUACUUGCGUAGAAAGAAUAGAUAGCCAUUUAAUGGCAAUUGGAAGCUAGAUAGGAAUAACUAGUAGAACUUGAUUUAGGAAAGAGCUUUUGAAAUUAUAUUAAUGCCAAUUUGGGUUGGUUGUGAUGUUGUGUGUGAUAAUAGGUUCCAAUGAGGCCUCACAUGUCCAUUUGAAGCAAUAAUCAAAGUUAGAGUCAAUUAAAGAUUCAACAAAUAUCGGUGAGUCAACUUCCAUCAAAGUGUUUUUGGGAAAUACAUAUGUGUUGGGAUGAAGCAUUUAAAUGAUUUUACUUGGCUUUUAAUUAAAUUAUGCAUGGGAACAAGCCCUUGAUAAAUUGUCUCUAUGUUGUGACAUGUGGCUGUUAUGGAUUCAUGUACCACUAAAUUAUGUUGGUAUAUAUAUAUAUGUUGUGUAAUGAUAUUGACCCGGCUAUGUGUGAGUAAGAGUGCGCAUAAGCCAAUGAUGACCCGAUUAUGUGCGAGUGGGAGUGUGCAUAAGCCGAUGAUGACCUAGCUAUGUACGAGUAGGAGUGCGCAUAAGCUGAUGAUGACCCAGCCAUGUGCUAGUGGGGAGUGUAUAUGAGCUGAUGAUGAUGGGAGGGUGUGCAUGAUGAUGGAUAUAUAUAUAUAUAUAUAUAUAUACAUACAUAGAUAUGUGUGUUAUAGAAAGUUUAUGAAAAUAAUUGUGAUUGUGUUGUGUCUUGGCAUUGUUAAUUGCUCCCAAAAUUGCUUUUCAUUUCAACAAGAAAAUGGCUUUUGAUGUAACAAGACCCAUUUCACUCAAAGUGCUCUGUUUCUCACUACAGCGAGAUUCAUUUUUGCUGUAACUAGAAACUCUCGGGUUUUGGGGAUCACACUAGCAUGAUUCUUGCUGCAGCGAGAAACUCUCGGGUUCUAGUGCAGUGCUUUGACUUUGAUGAAGAUUUUGACCACUUUACCAUCUAAAGUGGGAAAAGUGGUAAUAUAAAAGUUGUAGCCCUGUCUUUUAUCUUUCUAAUGGUUUAAAAAUCAGGUAAAUUGGACUUCUAUAGUGGGAGAUAUACUAGAAAAACUGAAACCCAUGCAAAGUAACACUAUUUCUCACUACAACGAGAAACUUGCUGCCAUGCUUGCUACAUUGCUUGAUUUUGACAUAUUUUUCACCCAUUUGACUUCAUGGAUUGAUCAUGGGUUUUUGCAACACUAUGAGGUUAUUAAUCAAAGCUUGAAAUGAGGGGUUUUUAGUAAGAAAUUAAAUCAAUUGCAUUUUUUUUGAAACAAGUGCAUCAUGAUUUCCAAAUUCUUCCUAUCGAUUGCUUGUUCCCUUCUUAUGUUCAUUCACUGAGUUUAUAAUCACAUUUUUAAACUUCAUGUUUUCAGAUUCGAAGAUAAUUGGGACCUAGAUUGAGUGUCUACGUAUGCUCGUCCUCUUGGUAGGUACUAUGGCAUCUUAGUAGCUGUACUUUCACCCACGGUCACUUCGCUGACGGUCAAGAGUCUUAUGCUUGUGUACAUGUAUAAGUAAUAAAGACCACUAAGAUUCAUGUUAAAAAUCAAAUAUGUAUAUUUGAUUACUAAUGCCACUGUAAGGUGGCAAAUGAGUGAUAUUAUGUUAGCAUAAUACAAAUGUGAAUAUUGGAUUACUAUAAAAUGUUACUGAAAUAUUUAAAAUUGAGAAUUGAAAUGUGGUUUUAGAAAUGAUGGUUGGGAAUGAUGAUCACGUUUGCAUUAAAAGGCUUGCUUGGGCUUAGUGGACUAUGCCCAUUGGACCCAUGAGCUGGUCAUAGCCUAGAAUUUGGGCUGUGACACCAUAUUUUUGUGAAUUGAGUUGAUUGUGAUGCUAUUAUGAUGAUAGAUUCCAACAAAGCUCCACCGCCCCAUUUGGACCAUUAGAGGAAGUGGAAUUGAGUAAGGAUUUAACAAAUACUGGUGAGUGAACUUGCAUUUCAAAAUGUGUUGGGAAGUACCUACAUGUUUAAAGGAAUCGUUUGAAAGUCCAUUUGUUCAUGCUUUAAAAAAAUAAAAAAAUAAAAAAACUUAGGGAACAAACCUUUGGUGAAAUAUUUUUAUCUUGUGAAAGUGUGCCAUAUAAAUGGUUCCUACGUAUCAUAUUGUAUGAAUAUGUCUAUUAUGCAUUGGAUGUUCCUUUUUGUGUGAUAAUGAUGACCUAGCUAUGUGCGUGUGGGAGUGCACAUGAGUUGAUGAUGACACAGCUAUGUGCGGUGUAGGAGUGCACAUGAGCUGAUGAUGACCCGACCAUGUACGAGUAGGGAGUGCACAUGAGCUGAGUAUGGAGGGAUGGUAUGCAUGAUGGUGUAUGUGUAUAUAUAAAUGUUAUAGAAAGUUUAUGAUAGUGUUUGUGAUUGUAUGGCAUGAUGAAUCUUGAAAAUUUCCUAUUUACUUGUAAAUUGAUUUUAUUGCAGCGAGAAACACUCUGUUUAUACUGCCUUGCUUGGAUGAUUGCUGGAAAUUUCCUCUCUUUCCAAUUUCAUGCUAAAUAUGGUUCCUUCAUCAUUAAAGAAUUUAAUAACCAGGGGUUUAAUGGAAGGAUUUUAAUAAGAACUAAACAAAAUUGCAUUGUUUUGAAAAUAAGUGCAUCAUGAUUUCUUUAAACUUUCCUUAUCGUUGCUUGUUCCCUUCUUAUGUUCACUCAAUGAGUUUUUACUCACUGUUUUGAACUUCAUGUUUUCAAAUCAGGAGGCAGUUAGAACCUAGGUUUAGGUGUCCACAUAGUUUUGUCUUUCUUAGUAGGUAUGUUGGCAUUCAGUAGUCGUCCUUUCACCUUGGCCAUUCCUCUAGAAGUCAAGAGUCAUUUUGUUUGUGAAUACGUUCAUGUGAUGUAAAGUAUUAAGAUAUGUGUCUUAGACAAUGUAUGUAUAUUGUGGUAGGUAAUGCCACCACGAGUUGGCAAUGGUUAACAUUAUUUGGGUUAAUGUGAAAUGCAGUUUUUGAUCGUUACAGCAUAUUAAUUAGGUACUUAUAGAUUGGAAGUAUGAAAGGUGACUUUAAGAAUAGUUGAUGGAAUGAUGAGCAGAAUUACACAAAUAGGCUUGCUUGGGCUUGAUGGGCUUUGCCCAUUUGGUCCAUGCACCAAUCGCGGCUCAAAAAUCGGGUCGUGACAGACUUGGUAUUAGAGCCCUAGGUUGUCUAGGUCCUAGUAUUUCUUUUUGUUGGUCCAGCGGAGUGUUAGGUCUUUAUGUGGAAACUUUAGUUGUGAAGUGUGAACCGCGUCACAUUUUACAACCAAGGGACCACAUAGAUUAUCUAUCUUAGAAACCACAUUUUUCCUUAGAUAUGAUUAUAAUUGCAAAAAUGUGUUUAAUAAUGGGUGUUUGCUCUUGUCUAGGUAAGACUGCUGCCUAAGACACGAGCUGCCUCAAGACAGAUGGGGGAGAAAGAUGCUCCUAAUGAGAUGACAGAUAGCCCACAGGCAUGCACCUUUAGGGGGCGAGGUAGACGUGGCGGGGCCACUAGACUAGUGAGGGCGGAUACGCUUGUGAGUAGAAAAGAGGAAGGACAGUCUUUGGGUGAUGCGGAUAGACAACCAACAGGGGGUAUUACCAUUGAGGAUUUGGCAGUAGGCCUACAGAGAGUUAAUCGGGUUGUAGAGAUGAUGGCAACCCAUAUGGAUGAUAUAUAGAGGAUAGUGGAGGGGAGACCUACAGUACAAGAAUCCCCUAGUUCCUAAGGGCAGGUCGAAGGCCAACAUAUUGGGGUCGAGAAGGGUCAUUUAGAGAUUUCCCUUCCUGGUUUUUUGAAGCUUAAGCCUCUGUCAUUUUCAGGGUCUGAUGCAUCAGAGAAGCCCUAGAUUUUCUUUGAUAAGAUGGAAAAAAUUUGUAAAACCUUGGGAUGUUUGAGGCUUUGGUAUAGACGUCGAGUAUGACGGUGUCUGAUUACAACAUAAAAUUCCCACAAUUGUCUCGGCAUGCGCCUUAUUUAGUUUCUACAAAGGAGAUGAAGAUGCAAAGGAUUGAAGAUGGGCUAGUGAAGCCAUUGUUUAAGGCUGUGGCAUCUUGAGAUUUCAAUACCUACUCCGUAGCAGUGGAUUGAACUAAGAGGAUUAAAAUGAAGACUAGUGAGAGUAGGGCUACGAGGGAUAGAGCAAAAAGGGCCAAGACAGAGGGUUAUCAAGGUCGUAGAGAUUUUAGCAGUGGUAUUUCAUCUUCUAGCCGUCAAGGCCCACAAAGGGACUCAUGAUUACCCUAACAGGGGAGUGACUUGCCUGGUGCUAGUAUUAGGGCGAGAUAGAGAACCUUCAAUGUUGGGAGGUAGCAAGAUUCAAGGCAGGGAAGUCAAGUUAUCCGUCAUUGUGAUACUUGUGCGGGACGACAUAGAGGAAGAUGCCUCUGUCCUACGGGAGUUUGUUUCUCAUGUGGUCAACCUGGACAUAUUAAGAGGAAUUGCUCGAUGGCUCAUCAAUGCCAAGGUUCUACUCACGGUUUCACCCAACCAGCCUGGUCUACUUCUUCAAUAGCUGCCUCAUCGGCUCAGAAGGCUAGCGGAUCUAGAGUUAAAGGUGCUGUUACUUCCUCUCAGGGAAGGCCUUCUGGGUCUGGACGUUAGAGUUCUGCCGGUAAGGGUUAAGCAAGGGUGUUUGCUUUAACACCACAAGAAGCCUAGACAUCCAACGUAGUGGUAUCAGGCAUUCCCUCAGUUUGUAAUAUGAAUGCUCAGGUAUUGUUUGAUCCUGGUGCUACCCACUCUUUUAUUUCUCCAUGCUUUACAUCUCUUUUGGGCAAAGAUCGUGUUAGGAGAGAAUAACAAUUAGUGGUGUCUACUCCUUUAAAGGAGGUAUUUAUGGCCGAAUGGGAAUAUGAGUCCUGUGUAGUUCGAGUCAAGGACAAAACACUUCAGUGAAUAUAGUGGUGUUAGACACCUUGGACUUUGAUGUGAUCUUGGGAAUUGAUUAACUAUCACCCCGCCAUGCCAGUGUGGAUUGUUAUCAUAAAUCGGUUAGAUUUAAUUUCCCGGAUGAGCCAUCAUUUAGUUAUCAUGGGGAUAGAAGCAACGCUCCAAUUAAUUUGAUAUUAGUCAUGUCUACUAGGAGGCUAUUAAGACAGGGUUGUUAAGGUUACUUGGCCGUUGUGAGGGAUAAGCCAAGUGUUAGUGGUGAAUGAGUUCAUGGAUGUAUUUUCUGAGGAACUACCAGGUUUGCCUCCUGAGCGGGAGAUUGAAUUUUGCAUAGAUUUGAUUCCUGACACUAGACCUAUAUCCAUACCCCCAUAUAGAAUGGCACUUGCGGAGCUUAAGGAACCUAACGAUCAGUUAGAGGAUUUAUUGGAUAAAGGCUUCAUCUGUCCUAGCAUCUCACCAUGGGGAGCACUGGUGUUAUUUGUAAAGAAAGAUAGGUCACUUAGAUUGUGCAUUGACUAUCGACCGCUUAACAAAGUGAUAAUGAAGAAUAAGUAUCCUCUUCCAAUAAUAGAUGAUUUAUUUGAUCAACUACAAGGAGCACAAUGUUUCUCUAAGAUAGAUCUACGAUCUGGGUACCAUCAGUUGAGGAUCCGAAAUGAUGAUAUACCAAAGAUCGCAUUUCGAACAAGAUAUGGGCACUAUGAGUUCUUAGUGAUGUCAUUCGGGCUUAUGAAUGCCCCUGCAGCCUUUAUGGGUUUAAUGAAUCGAGCGUUUAAGCCUUACCUGUACAAGUUCAUGGUGGUGUUUAUUGAUGACAUUUUGAUCUACUUGAAGAGCCGAGAGGACCAUGAGCAACACCUUAAGAUGUGCUCCAAACUUUGAGAGAACAUUGAUUGUAUGCCAAGUUCUCCAAAUAUGAGUUCUGGCUUGAAAGUGUUGCAUGCUUAGGACAUGUGGUCUCUAAGGAUGGCAUACAAGUCGAUCUAAAAAAAGUUGAGGUAGUGGAAAAGUCACCAAGGCUAACAUCGUUUACGGAGAUUAGAAGCUUUGUGGGUUUGGUUGGCUAUUAUCAUCAUUUUGUGAAGGACUUCUCCAAAAUAGUCGCCCCUCUGACUAAGCUGGCACGUAAAGAUAGAAAAUUUGAGUGGACAGAUGCUUGUGAGAAUAACUUUGAGAAGCUUAAGGCAUGUCUCACCACAGCUCCAGUAUUAAGCCUACCACAAGGCACAAGGGGUUAUACUGUAUUCUGUGAUGCAUCGCGGGUCAGUUUAGGGUGUGUAUUAAUGCAACAUGGGAAAGUGAUUACGUAUGCAUCAAGGCAGCUCAAAAGGCACAAGUAGAAUUACCCUGCACACUAUUUGGAGAUGGCAGCAAUCGUGUUUGCCUUAAAGAUUUAGAGACAUUACUUGUAUGGUGAGACUUGGGAGAUAUAUACGAACCACAAAAGCCUAAAGUAUAUAUUUUAGCAAAGAGAUCUUAACUUGCGACAACGUAGGUGGAUGGAGUUACUAAAAGAUUGUGAUUGUACUAUUCUGUACCAUCCCGAUAAGGCAAAUGUAGUGGCAUAUGCCUUGAGUCAAAAAUUUAUGGGGAGCCUAGCACAUAUCUCUAUAGAUAAGAGAUCUUUGCUUAGGGAGAUUCAUAGCUUGGGAUACAUGGGUGUGCAUUUGGAAUUUUCGGAGGAAAAUGCAUUACUAGCACAUUUUAUAGUGAGGCCUAUAUUAAUGGAAUAAAUUAAAGAAGCAUAAAGUAACGAUGAGUUCGUAGCUAAGGUCUUAGAGGACCCUUAAGGAAAGAAAGGAAAAAUGUUUACGAAAGGCACAAAUGGAGUAUUGAGGUAUGGAACCAGACUUUAUGUGCUCAAUAGUGAUGGAUUAAGGAGAAAAAUAUUAGAGGAAGCACACAUGGCAACUUAUGUGGUACAUCCAGGGGCUACAAAGAUGUAUCAAGAUUUGAAAGAGGUAUAUUGGUGGGAAGGACUUAAGAAAGAUGUAGCUGAGUUUGUUUCCAAGUGCUUGGUUUGUCAACAGGUUAAGACUGAGCAUCAAAGGCAUACAGGGCUAUUACAAUCGUUACCAGUGCCCGAGUAGAAGUGGGAGCAUAUUGCAAUGGAUUUUGUAAUGGGCUUACCUUGAACUAGUGGGGGCUACGACUAGAUCUGGGUCAUAGUAGACCGGUUAACGAAAUUAACUCAUUUUCUUCUGGUUAAAACUAUAUACGAGGCUGCCCAAUACUCCCAGCUUUAUAUAGACGAGAUAAUAAGGCUGCAUGGCAUUCCUGUUUCUAUAGUAUCUGAUAAAGGGGCAUAGUUCACUUGUAGGUUUUGGGAAAAGAUGCAAAAAGCAUUAGGCACUAAGUUGGAUUUCAGCAUGUCUUUCCAUGCCCAGACUAACAGACAGUUUGAACGGACGAUACAAACAUUGGAAGAUAUGUUAAGGGCGUGUGUAAUAGCCUUUGGGGUCAGGUGGGAUCGAUAUUUGCCCUUAGUGGAGUUUGCCUACAACAACAGUUUCCAAGCUAGCAUCCAAAUGGCACCAUUUAAAGCAUUAUAUGGACGGAAGUGUAGGUCACCCAUUGGAUGGCUAGAGGUGGGAGAAAGGAAACUUUUAGGGCCUGAGUUGGUAUAGGACGCUAUCAAAAAAAUACGCAUGAUUCGUCAAAGGAUGUCAGUACAAAGUAGGCAAAAGUCAUAUGCUGAUAACAGACGAAGGAACUUGAAGUUUCAAGUGGGGAAUCAUGUAUUUUUUAAGGUCUCACCAACAAAAGGGGUAAUUAGGAUUGGCAAGAAGGGAAAAUUGAGCCCUCGGUAUAUAGAACCCUUCGAGAUUUUGGAAAGGGUUAGAGUAGUGGCAUAUCGCUUGUCAUUACCGCCAAACCUUUCAAAUAUUCACCUCGUGUUUCAGGUGUCAAUGCUUAGGAAGUAUAACCCAGAUCUAUCUCAUGUAAUAUGAUAUGAAACCAUCCAGCUAAAAGAUGAUUUGACCUAUGAGGAGCAACCAGUAGCUAUCCUUGAUCGGUAAGUCAAAAGGCUCCGUUCAAAGGAUGUAGCCUCAGUUAAACUAUUAUGGCAAAACCAUACCAAUGAAGAGGUAAUGUGGGAAGCUGAGGACGAGAUGCGAACAAAGUAUCCACACCUCUUUAAUAUGUAGAGGUAUGCUGCCUUAUAGUUCGAUUUAAAUUCAGGGACCGAAUUUCUUUUAGUGGGGGAGAAUGUGAAACCUCGAUCUUCAUAGACAUGUAACUAGAGGUAGAACUUAUGUUAAAGGUUUAAUUUGAGCUAAUGAUGCUAGUUUUAUGUUACUUAUAAUUAUUUUAUGUCAUUAUAAGAGUAAGAUUAAAAAAGGAUUUCAAUUGGUGAAGAAAGGUGCAUAGUGGGCUAUUGCUCUAUUUGCAUAUGUUUCAGUUUUUCAAGUAUAUCUCUCACUAAAGAAGUCUAAAUGAAAUUAUUUUUGUACCAUUAGAAAGAUAGGAGUUAGGGCUACAAGUUUAAUGUUUACCACUUUGCCUAGUUUUGAAAGGAAGGUGGUCAAAAUCUUCAUCAAAAUGGAAGUAUUACGCUAGGAGAAUAGAUUCGGACAGAACGUUUGAGCGCCACGGCGUUGGCAAUUGAGAGCCGUGGCCUUCACUGUAAUUUCCACAAAUAAUAAGUUUAGUGGAUUUUUGAAGCUAGGGUUUUUAGGGGCUACUCAACGGACCUAUUUUUGAGGAUUUUGGACCUUUUCCAGUGUCAAAAGAGUAAAAGAUUGCAUAAGAAAAUAAGGAAGACAAGUGGCCUUGUUAAGGCCAUUAUUGUAAUUGCAUGAAGAUUCAGAUAAGCUCUAACUAUAAAAAUCCCAUUCUUCUAACAGCUUUUUCAAAUUUCCAACACUUCUUCUUCUUCUUUUCUCAUGUUUUUUCACCUUCCACGGAAGCUUGCUUUGAAACUUCUAUAGAUUUUCUCGAGUUAACCCUGAUUUUCAUGUUUUUGUGCACCCUUUCACAAAGUUCUUUGUGCUCUUUUACUUUUUCACCAUAAAACCCUAAAAAGCCUUUCCCUAAUACUUUCUCUCACUAGUUGGACAUUCUAGAGAGAGAAAGAGAGAUUUUUCACAAGAAACUAAAAGCUUUUGAAAGGGAAUUCAAUUACCAAGCUAGCAAGGUGAGUAUUGAAAUUGAGCUGAUAUUUUUAGUUGUUGAGGAUGAUUGGUGGUUAGAUUUGUGAGUGUUUUGUAGCUAAGGAUUUAUUCGUUUUAGUGUGAUUAGAGUAGUGAAGAUAGAUAGCCACUUAAUGGUAGUUGGAAACUAGAUAGGAAUAACUAGCAGAACAUAAUUUAGGAGAUAGUUUCUAGAACCAUAUUUAUGUGAAUUGAGUUAAGUGUGAUGCUAUUAUGAUGAUAGGUUCUAACGAAGCUCCACCACCCCAUUUGGACCAUUAGAGGAAGUGGAAUUAAGUAAGGAUUUAACAAAUACUGGUGAGUGAACUUGUAUUUCAAAAUGUGUUGGGAAGUACCUACAUGUUUAAAUGAAUCGUUUGAAAGUCCAUUUGUUCUUGCUUUAAAAAAAAUAAAAAAAUAAAAAAACCUAGGGAACAAGCCUUUGGUGAAAUAUUUUUAUCUUGUGAAAGUGUGCCAUAUAAAUGGUUCCUAUGUUAUCAUAUUGUAUGAAUAUGUAUAUUGUGCAUUGGAUGUUCCUUUUUGUGUGAUAAUGAUGACCCAGCUAUGUGCGUGUGGGAGUGCACAUGAGCUGAUGAUGACCCAGCUAUGUGCUGUGUAGGAGUGCACAUGAGUUGAUGAUGACUAACCAUGUGCGAGUAGGGAGUGCACAUGAGCUGAGUGUGGAGGAAUGGUAUGCAUGAUGGUGUAUGUGUAUAUAUAAAUGUUAUAGAAAGUUUAUGAUAGUGUUUGUGAUUGUAUGGCAUGAUGAAUCUUGAAAAUUUCCCAUUUACUUGUAAAUUGAUUUUAUUGCAGCGAGAAACACUCGGUUUAUACUGCCUUGCUUGGAUGAUUACUGGAAAUUCCCUCUCUUUCCAAAUUCAUGCUGAAUAUGGUUCCUUCAUUAUUAAAGGAUUUAAUAACCAGGGGUUUAAUGCAAGGAUUUUAAUAACAACUAAAUUAUAGUACCCUAUAUUUUGAUACGAUGGCUAAUAAAGUUUACGAAUACCAAUUGAGGUUGAUUACUAAGUUAAAAGGGUAAUUCAGAAGUGAACUUGUUAAAUCUCGACCUCUAUAAACAUGUAACUAGAAGUAGACGCAAUAAUGCGGACUAGGGGUAAUUUUGUAAUUUGUCUUGGUAGGCUCCUACGAGUGGGUUUUUUAAUGCUGUUAAGGUCUAAAUAGGCCUAAGGAAUGAAUAAAUGAUGUUUAUAAUGGUAAAUAAAUGAGGAAAAUAAAAAUAAUGAUAAUUUCUAUGGUAGGGGCAAAAUGGUCAUUUUGCAUCUUGGGUCUAAAUUUUUUUGUUUCGUGAACUUGAGUACCUUUAGACUAUUAUGGACUUUGUUUCGAUGUCAAAAGAGCAAAACGGUUGCACAAAGGAUGGGAGGAAGAUAAAGCCACCAUGUUAAGGGCAUUUUUUUAAUUUCGGUGAAAAUUUGGAUUAACUUGAAGCAUAAAUAUCUAAGCUCCAGCAGUUUCCAGCAACUUCUCCUUCAUCUUCUUUCUCCCCUUUCAUGUUCCUUUUAUCCUCUAUGGAAGCUUGUUUUGCAACUUCCAUAACUUUCUCUCUCUAGCUCUAAAUUUCAUGCUUUUGCCCACUCUUUUAUAAGGUUUUUCAUGCUCUUCCACUUUUACACCUUACAACCCUCAAAAAGUCUUUGUUUAGCACUUUUUCUCACUAGUUGAAAGUUUUAGAGAGAGAAAGAGAGACUUGCCAUAGUAGCUUGGAAGCUUUUGAAAAGGAAUUCAACUAAAAAAAAAAAAACCACCAAGGUAAGAAAUGAGUUAGAAUUUGAUUUUAAGGUGUUAAAGAUGGCUAGAAAUUUGAUUUAUGGGUUGUUAUAUUGUCAAGCCCAACUCUAUAAUAUACUUGCCAUGUCAUUCAUGUACUUGAUAGCAUGUCUGCAUGCUUAGAUGCCUCGAAAAAUUGUUAAAAGUCAGUAUCAUACCGAGUGGUACAAUUAAGUUGAUUAAAGCAUCGAACUAGUCCAAAUAGAGAUUUUAGGAUGUAUUUCAGAGUUAUUGAACCUUAGAAUGUCUUAAUAUGGUGAUCUGGAGUUCGAGGAUUGAUUUGGAGUCUAAUCGAGAAUUUUCAUAGCAUAAGGGCAAAAUGGUCAUUUUUCACCCGAGGGCAAAAAUUGGAAUGUUGGACUAGAUUUUUUUAUCAAGUUUGACUAGUUGGAACAUAAUUUGAAUUUGAGGAGUGAAAAAUUUCAAUUCCGAGCAUAACAGCAAAAUAGUCAUUUCACGUGUCCAUGAGGAUGUAAUUGGAAUUUUUGAAAUUUUACACCACCAUGACACUUGUAAAGCCCAUGAAUUUCACCUAUUAUCAUUUUUAUAUCUUGGAUAAUUAAGGUGUUAUAUGUGGUGGUAAGAGAAUGCUUAAUUGUUAAGUUUUAACCAUGGACCAAUCAAGUGGCGACACGUGUCAAGUUUUAAUUUUUUUAUAAUUUCCUUUAUAAACCAGCAUAAACCUUUCCCAAUUCACUCUUCAUUGCCGUGAAAUCCAAAAAACAAAGGGGGAAAGAAUAGCAAAAACCUGAGGAAAAAUUCAAGAGAAAUUCACUGGAUUUCUGAAAAACGAAGCGAUCGGAGGUAAGAUUUCGUGAUUUAGCUUAAGAUCUACCUUACCCAUGCUUUCUUUUUCAUUUUUUAUGGUUGAAACUCAAGUUUUCAUGAUGGAAACAUGCUGGCCGAAUCAAGGGGGGAAGGUUUUGAUUAUGGUUUUUGAUAGAUUUCAAGCUAGCUAGGUGUUUUUAGUGUUUUGUGAUAUUUGGUAUGAAAAACAAGCAAGAAAAUAACAUGUUCUUCAUCAAACCCUAAUUGGCCGAAUUCUAUAGGGAAUAUUUUGAAGAUGAAUUUUGUCAUAUUUCAAGUUAUCUAGCUCGUAUUUGAUGAUUCGUGAUGUCGGAUAUCGAAAAGUACAGUUCAUUUAGUAAACGACUUGAACGAUAAAUGAGAAAAUUAUAGUAAAUGGACGUAGAAUUGAUUUCUAAUGAGGUAUACGGACUUAUUGGAGUAUCGAAAGUGCAAUGAAUCUAUUUGGAGUUGAAUUGGAUGUUUUGGCUAAUUAAACAGUGUAUAGUACGAGUUACGUCGAAUACCAUUUUAGUCCAACAACAAUUGAACCUACGUAGAACACCAUCUUUAAGUGAUUAUUCUAACAUUUCUCAUUAAAUUUCAUGAAUUCAUAAAGAGCCUGAAAUAGUUUUAUAACAGUUUGGCACAAAUAUAUUGAAUUACUUGUUAUGUAUUAUGUAUAGGUAGUGAGCCCUCUGGUAAGGGUAAGGAUAUCGUACCCGAGGACCAGGAGUAAGAGUACUCCCAUUAUAAUGAGUAAAUAGACGAUCGUCUUAACUAUCUAAAGUAGUUUAUACUCGUUUUUAUGAUUUUAAAGAAUAAUAAAUUUAAAUUGUAAACUAUUAUGUUUUAUAACUGAAGUGUUGGUUAAAUGAAAUGAGAUUCAUAAUUUUGUUUGAAAUUGAAUCCUGGUUUUGGAAAUUGAGUAAGUGGAGACUAUAUACUUGUGUUAAAUAUAUGUUUUGACAUAUGGUUUGAAUUUCUUGCUUAUGAGAAUGUGAUGGCAUGAAUGGCUGGAUUUGUGUUUGUGUGGAUAUAUGAAUUGUUUUGUUUUACCUUGAUAGGCUGGGUAAUAUCAUAUUAGCCAUGUCAUGCUGCUGAAAUUUUUAUUGAUUUGGUGGGGUAAGUGAUUAGCUUACUGCAGUGGGCGGGUUUCUGUGGACCAACCUAUUAGAGGGGCACGGUAAACCUCAUUAUAUUUUACCUUAGUAUAAGAGGCGCGAAGGGUAUCUCCUAAGGUAGUUUGGAGUUCACUUCACGCCGAACCACCACGUGAAGGUGAAACUCAGCCAACGCCAAGGAACGACUAUGUUUUUAACGUAAAAACAUGUUUUAUGUGUUUAUGUUAUUUUAACAACCUUGGUGGACUCUGUUGGAUGGCCAGCGCAAGGUGUCAUCCAGUACGAGUUCUAGCACGAGCCAAGUUUUAAGAGAGUCAUAAGCCUUGCUGAUUAUUUUUGAUGAAAUGUAAUUGUUUUAUAUGGUUGAAAUUAGUUUAAUGUUAUGAAUCAUAUUAUGAAGAGAUGUUUUAAUUGUCUUCAAUUACUCGGUUUUAGAUGUUAUAGAUGAACUUUGCUUACUCACUGGGUUUGUAAAAACUCACCCCUUUCUUAUCACCCAUUUCAAGUUCAGAGCACUCCGUAGACAGUCGAUUUUGUCGAGGGUUUGCUUUGUUUUUUGCACCCUUAGAAAUCAUAGGUCUACAAUCUUGUUUAUUUUUGUUAUUUUGGGGCUCACAUGUCAUUGUAAAAUAUUUUUGUAUAUCUUGGCCCUGUGUGCUAUUAUGUAUAUGAAUUUAUUUUGUUAUUACACUACAGUAAUUGUUUACAUAGAAUUUUAUAAAUAUUGUUUUAUAUGAAAAUGGAAUAUUUUAUCCAAUAUUUUUAUUUAGUUCUAUUAGUUAUAAAUUCAUUUUAAAAAGAUGAUUUAGACACCUAGAUUUAUUUUUUUAUAUGAAAUGUAUAUUUUUCAUUCAUAUACUGUAUUUUUAGCAGGUUUCAAAAUUUUUGGGUAAAAUGACCAAAAUUCCCCUUAUGCUGUAGAAAUUACUUUUUGAUUGUCUUUGAUUUGAAAAUCGUUUAUAUUCCUUUAAAACAUGAUAUUUAGUAACUGUUACUCACAGGGGAGGCGAAAAACUGAUGUUAGAGCCUUGCGAGGUUUCGAUUGACAUUCCGGGUAAGGUUUGUCUAUCGGGACAUCACAGCCGUUGUCACGGGCUUGGAAAAAGUACCAGGUCGUGACAUAUAUUUUUUAUAGUUAUAUUGUGGGUGAUAGGUUCCAACAAGGCCUCACAUGUCCGUUUGAAGUAACAAUCGAAGUUAGAGUCGAUUAGAGGUUCAACAAUCCCGGUGAGUGAACUUGCAUUUCAAAAUUGUUUUGGAAAAUAGAAUUGUGUUGAGAUAAAUAAUUUGUAUGAUUUUAUCCAACUUUUCAUUAAAAAUGGGUGCUUGGGAACAAGCCCUUGAUAAAUGUUUUGAUGUUGCUAAAAUGUGAAAAGUACAAAAGAAUGAAUCCAUGUGCUCCUAUAUUAUAUUGGUAUGUAUAUAUAUAUGAAUAUAUGUUGUGCAUUGAUGAAUAAUGUUGUGUGAUAAUAUUGACCUGGCUAUGUGUGAGUAGGGAGUGCGCAUAAGCCGAUGAUGAUGAUGACCCGGCUAUGUACAAGUAGAGAGUGCGCAUAAGCCGAUGAUGCCGAUGACUCCGACUAUGUGCAGGAUGUGUGGGGAUGCACAUGAGCUGGGUGAGAUGAUGGUGGUAUUGGUGUUUAUUUAUGUAUAUAUGUAUAUAUAUGUUUGUGAAAUAAAAGUUCAUGAAUAUGGUAUAUGGUUGUAAUGCAUGUGAAAUUUGGCGUGAUUAAUCUUGAGAAUUUCUCAUUUUCUUGCAAAUUGAUUUUUAUUGCAACACCAAAUGGAUUUUUAGUGCAAAGGAGGUCCUUUUUACACUUAUGUGGUCUGCUUCUCAUUGCAGUGAGAAUACUUUCUCGUUGCAGCUAGAAACAUUCUGCUUUGGCAGCCAGAAACUCACCGCAGCGAGAAACUCUUAAGUUCUGGUGCAAUUUUUUCACUUUGAUGAAGAUUUUGACCACCUUCCCAUCCGAACUGGGAAAAGUGUAAACAUAAAAGUUGUGGCUCUGCCUCUUAGCUUUCUAAUGGUCCAACAAUCAAGUCAAUUGGACUUCUGUAACAGAAGAUAUACAAGAAAAACAAAAACACAUGUAAACUGAUACCGUUUCUCGCUGCAGCGAAAAACAUUUUGUCCUGCAUGCUACCCUAUUCGAUUUUUGACAUAUUUUUCACUCACUGAACUUCGUGGAUUGAUCAUGGGUUGUUGCAAUACUAUGAGGUUAUUAAUCAAAGUUUGAAAUGAGGGUUUUUAGUAAGAAAUUAAAUCAAUUGCAUUGUUUUCGAAACAAAUGGAUCAUGAUUUUAAAAUUCUUCCUAUCAAUUGCUUAUUCCCUUCUUAUGUUCACUCACUGAGUUUCGUACUCACGUUUUUAAAAUUCAUGUUUUCAGAUUUGGAGGCAGUUGGGACCUAGGUUGAGUCACACACAUAUGCUCGUCUUCUUGGUAGGUGCAAUGGCAUCUCAAUAUUUGUAUCUUCACCCAGAGUCACUCCGCUGAUGGUCUCGAGUCUAUUACUUGUGAACAUGUAUAUGUAAUGUAAACUAAUAAGGGUCAUGUUAUAAAUGAAGUAUGUAUAUGUUGGAUUGAUGAUGACAGUACUUUGAUAUAAUGUAAAUAUGAAUAUUCAGUUGUUAUAAAAUAUUACUGGAAUAUUUACUUUUGAGAGUUACAGCACUUCAUUUUAAAGAUGAUGGAUGGGAAUGAUAAUCGAAGUUGCAUAAAGAGGUUUGCUUGGGCUUAGUGGGCUAUGCCCAUUGGGCCCAUGCACCGAUCAUGGCUCAAGAAUUUGGGCUAUGACAAAGGUGGUAUCAGAGCUCUAGGUUUAGUUGAGUCGUAGGGAUUCUUGUGUCAGUUAGUGGAGUUGUCAGAGUUAAGGUAAAGUCUUGUCUAUGGUUUGUGACGCAGCACAAGUCAUAGACAGGAAGCUAUAUGUCACAACCCAAAUCCCGGGCCAUGACCGGCGCAUGGGUCCAAUGGACACAGUCCACUAAGCCCAAGCAGGCCUAUUAAUCUGACAUGAUCAUCAUUCCAUCAUAAACUGCUAAGUCACAUUUCAUAACUUAGGAUCAAAAUAAUAUUAAGCAUUGCCACCUCAUACUAGCAUACCAAACAAAUGUAUAUACAUUGUCUACAGCAUGUAUCUUAAUAAUUUACAUUAGGUUUGUCUGUACACAAUAAAAGAAUACUCGACUUCUAAUGGAGAGACUCGGACGAAUGUACAGCUACUGAAUGCCGAGACACCUACCAAGGGUCAAAUAUAUGAAGACACUUCGACCUAAUUACCAACUGCCUUGUGAUCUGAAAACAUGAAGUUGAAAAUGAUGAGUAUAAACCAAGUGAGUGAACAAGAAGGGAACAAGCAUACCAUAAGGAAUGUUUAACGAAAUCAUCAUGCAUUCAUUUUUGAAAACAAUGCAAAUUAUUUGAGUUCUUAUUAAACCCCUCAUGUAAACCCCACAUGAGAAAAAUCACUUAUUGAAAAGAGUCCAUGCUCAACAAAGGUUUUGGAGAGUGAAAACUUUAAUAGCAUUCAUGCGAAUCAAGUCAAAUAAGCGAGAAUGCCUUUCUGCUGUAGCGACACUUGACUUAAAUUAUUAUCUAGCCGAGGGUUUCUUAACUGGCCUAGAGUUUCUCACCAAACCUCCUCGUUUUAAUCUUAAUUCAUUUAUUCUUUAAUGUUGGAAGUCCAUGCUCAACUAUGGUAUCAAAGAAGUGGAAGAUAGGGCAACAAUUGAUCAAGAUGUGAGACAAAACAUAAAGUUUUUUGCUGCAGCAAGAAUGAAUCUCGCUGCAACGAAAUUUUUGCCCCAAGACAGAAACUUUCUCACUGCAGCGAGAAUGCUACAGUAUUUUCUCGCUGCAGCAAGAGUGCAUUCUCACUGUAGUGAGUUUCUAGCCAGCCACCCUCCAAAAACCUGAGAGUUUCUCUUUGCAGUGAGAAAUAGGGCACCAAUGGAAAAUUUCCCUUCCUCUAAUAGAAAACCACCUAGCUGAAAUGUCCAAAACCAAUAAAAAACACAUAACAACUAUGAUUAAGAUAAUUUAUCGCUGAUUUUGGUAGUGAACAAGUGAAUUAUAAUGCUGUUAGCUUAAAAGUAAGUGUUUAUACUUUUGGUAUGAGUUCAUUAAAUUCUAUUAUAUCAUGAUCAAAUUUGGUGUUUUGAUACAUUCUAAAAGGCUUGGCAUAUGAACUAGCUUAAUUGUAAGCUAAAAACUGUUAGGCCAUUAUGAAGUACACAAAUAGAGAAGUAUGACAUGAAUUCAAUAUACUAAGGAGCAAUGGAAAAUGAUGUAUCAGUUUUGGUAUAGCUUCAAUAUAUAUAGUUUUGAUAUACAAAGAUGUGUAGAAAAAUUUAUAGCUUAUGCAUAAAGGUGUGCAUUUGAAUUCGUAUAAUUAAAAGUGUAAAAUCUGCCUUGAUUGGCAUAAAGCUCAUGAUUCAAAAUGAAUGAUUAUGGAUUUAAUUUUCUAAGGUAAAAAGGACUAAAAGAAGUUAAUAUCAUAAAGGUCUUAAUAGAUGAUUCUUAAAAUUUAAAGUGCACUUAAAGAGAGAUAAAUGUUUAAUUUGAUCUUCAGAUUGAUAAACUAAUGAGGCCAUGAGAUCUGAUGUUUAGAGAAAAUAUGAGAAAUAUCAAGUUAGAUAUGUUGUAAGUGAUUGAUGACAAGCAAAUUAGCUAUGACAUUGGAAAUAUAGAAAUUAUUAGUAAUCAAAAUGAGACUUGGAAAGAAACUUUAAAGGGAAAAUUUUGAGCAACUUUAAUCUUGAGAGGUUGAGUUAUUAAUUAAAGAGAUUGGUUGAGAUUAUAAGGGGGUAUAUGGAAUGUCAUGAUUUAUUGAAACACCUUGUGGUAUAAGUUGAGAUUUAUCUAGUGAGCACUCGAUCAUGAAAGUAUUGGAGUUUCUUUUUGGGAAUAUGAUUACUAAUGGUUACCGGAUUUGAAUCAUCCAUGAUGUUAAAUAUAUAUGAAUAAAUAAAGAGUGUUUGAUCCUUAUGUAUUAUGAAAUGCUUGAAUGGAAUUUGUAUGGAGGUAUGUAAAACGGAAUAGAGGUUGGUUGACCAUUUAGACCCAUAGUUAAUGGUGGAAUAAAUGCUAGAAUGUUGGAAAGUUUGAUAAAAGAUCAAGGUCGAGGAAUUGUGGAUGGUUAGGUAAACAUGCAUGAUUGAUGAUUUAAGGAUGAUUUGAUUGAGGUGUGAUCAAAAUUAAUAACAUAUUUGAAUUCUCUUCAUAAGAUAAAGAAUGAUAUUAUUUUGAUCCAACAAGAGUAGUACACAAAACUAUAUACUAUGACAUUGUCGAGUUUUCUAUAAGAUUGGAAGUUAAUAUGAUGCAUAAACCAAGAUUCUAUGUUAAGAAUGCCUGACGAAAGUGAUGUGGUAGAACUUUAGAACUUUGAUUGUUCACCCCAUGCUGAUUUGAAUUCGAGGACGAAUUCAUUUUAAGUGGGGGAGAGUGUAGUACCCCAUAUUUUGAUACGGUGGCUAACAAAGUUUAUGGAUACCAAUUAAGGUUGAUUACUAAGUUAAAAGGGUAAUUCAAAAGUGAACCUGUGAAAUCUCGACCUCUAUAAACACGUAACUAGAAGUAGACAAGGUAAUGCAGACCAGCGGUAAUUUCAUAAUUUCUCUUGGUAGGCUCUUACGAGUGGGUUUUUUUUAUACUAUUAAGGUCUAAAAAGGCCUAAGGAAUGAAUAAAUGAUGUUUAUGAUGGUAAAUAAAUGACGAAAAGAAAAAUAAUAUUAAUUUCCAAAGUAGGGGCAAAAUGUUCAUUUUGCAUCUAAGGUCUAAUUUUUUUUGUUUCGUGAACCCAAGUACCUGUAGACUAUUAUGGACUUUGUUUCGGUGUCAAAAGAGCAAAGGUUGCACAAAGGAUGGGACGAAGAUAAAGCCACCAUGUUAAGGGCAUUUUGGUAAUUUUUAUGAAAAUUUGGAUUAACUUGAAGCAUAAAUAUCUAUGCUCCAGCAACUUUCAAUAGUUUCUCCUUCUUCUUCUUCCUCCCCUUUCACAUUCCUCUUAUCCUCAAUGGAAGCUUGCUUUGCAACUUCCAUAACUUUCUCUCUCUAGCUCCAAAUUUCAUGCUUUUGCCCACUUUUUCAUAUGGUUUUUCAUACUCUUCCACUUUUACACCUUAAAACCCUCAAAAAGUCUUUGUUCAGCACUUUCUCUCACUAGGUGAAAGUUUUAGAGAGAAAAAAAGACUUGCCAUAAUAGCUUGGAAGCUUUUGAAAAGGAAUUCAACUACAAAAAAAAUUUGAUUUGAUUUAUGGGCUGUUAUAUUUUUUAUAGUUAUAUUGUGGGUGAUAGGUUCCAACAAGGCCUCACAUGUCCGUUUGAAGUAAUAAUCAAAGUUAGAGUCGAUUAGAGGUUCAACAAACUCGUUGAGUGAAGUUGCAUUUCAAAAUUGUUUUGGAAAAUAGAAUUGUGUUGAGAUGAAUUAUUUGCAUGAUUUUAUCCAACUUUUCAUUAAAAAUGGGUGCUUGGGAACAAGCCCUUGACAAAUGUUUUGCUAUUGCUAAAAUGUGAAAAGUGCAAAAGAAUGAAUCCAUGUGCUCCUAUAUUAUGUUGGUAUGUAUAUAUAUAUUUAUCUAUGUUGUGCAUUGAUGAAUAAUGUUGUGUGAUAAUAUUGACCCGGCUAUGCGCGAGUAGAGAGUGCUCAUAAGCCGAUGAUGAUGAUGACCUGGCUAUGUAUGAGUAGGGAUUGCGCAUAAGUCGAUGAUGAUGAUGACUCGGCUAUGUGCGAGUAGGGAGUGCGCAUAAGCCGAUGAUGCCGAUGACUCCGGCUAUGUGCACGAUGUGGGGGGAUGCACAUGAGCUGGGUGAGAUGAUGGUGGUAUUGGUGUUUAUUUAUGUAUAUAUGUAUAUAUAUGUUUGUGAAAUAAAAGUUCAUGAAUAUGGUAUAUGGUUGUAAUGCAUGUGAAAUUUGGCAUGAUGAAUCUUAAGAAAUUCCCAUUUUCUAGCAAAUUGAUUUUUAUUGUAACACCAAAUGGAUUUUUAGUGCAAAGGAGGUCCUUUUUACACUUAUGUGCCCUGCUUCUCACUGUAGCGAGAAACAUUUUGUUUUGGCAACCAAAAAUUUGCUGCAACGAGAAUAAAUCUCGCUGCAGCAAGAAACUCUCAGGUUCUAGUGUAGUGCUUUUACUUUGAUGAAGAUUUUGGCCACAUUCCCAUCUGAACUGGGAAAAGUGGUAAACAUAAAAGUUGUAUCACUGCCUUUUAGCUUUCUAAUGGUCCAAAACUUAGGUCAAUUGAACUUCUGUAACGGAAGAUAUGCUAGAAAAACAAAAAUACAUGCCAAGUAAUACUAUUUCUUGCUGCAGCGAGAAUGAACUUUACUGCAGCGAGAAACAUUUUGUCCUGCAUGCUACCCUAUUCAGUUUUUGACAUAUUUUUCACCCAUUUAACUUCAUGGAUUGGUCAUGGGUUAUUGCAACACUAUGAGGUUAUUAAUAAAAGUUUGAAAUUAGGAGUUUUUAGUAAGAAAUUAAAUCAAUUGCAUUGUUUUUGAAACAAGUGCAUCAUGAUUUUAAAAUUCUUCCUAUCGAUUGCUUGUUCCCUUCUUAUGUUCUGUCAAGCCCGACCUUAUAAAAUACUUUCCAUGUCAUUCAUAUGAUUGACAAUAUACUUGCAUACUUGGAAAGCCCCGAAAGAAAAAUCGUUAAAAGACGACAAUGUACCAAAUGGUAAAAUUAAGUUAAUUUAAGCCUCAAACUAGAUCAAAUAGAGAAUUUAAAAUGAAAUUAAAAAUAUUAAAGCCCUAGAAUGGUUUAAUAUGAUGAUUUGGAGUUCGAUGAUCAAUUUGGAGUCAAACCGAAAUUUUUACUGUCUAGGGGCAAAAUGGUCAUUUGCCACACAAGGACACAAUGGGAAUUUUUAGAAAAUAAUUUUUUUGGCCCCAUUUGACUUAUUGGAGUAUGAUUUGAGUAUUGGAGUAUAAUUUGAGGGUUUGGCAGUGAAAAAGUUUAAUUUCGGUGAUUUUUAGAGUGUAGGGACGAAAUCGUAAUUUUACCACUCACGGACAAAUUUUGAGAUUUUGAGAGAAUUUAGAUCAAAUUUGACAAAUUGGAGAAUGGUAUGAGUAUAAGGGAUGAAAAAUAUGUCUAUGGAUAAUUUUUCAAUUUUUGGGGCAAAAAUGUAAUUUUUUACUUUUAUGGGGGUAAAAGUGUAAAUUUCAAAAAUUACUCCACCAAGACUUUGGAUAUGUCUGAGAAUUUUAUCUAAGCUAUGGAUAUGUGGGACAAGUGUAUGGUGAAAAUUUGAAAACAAAUGGAUGGCUAGAAUUUAAGGAAUUAAUAAAACAUUAAAAAAAUGAAUAAAAUAAUAUUAUAUUAUUUUAGCCUUUAAAAAGGUAAAAAUUCCAGAAUUCUCAUCUUCUUCAGCUGUCCAAACCAGGGGAGAAAAGGGGGAAAAAAACAAAUAAGAACCCUACCUGAAAAUUUGGGGAAAAUCAAGAGAAAUCAAGAAAUCAAGCAUUGAAAAGGUAAAUUUCAUUGAUUUUCCUUGUGAUUUUCACUACCCAUGCAUUUUUUUCUCAUUUCCAUGCAAAAUUAGAAAGUGGGUAUGGACACCCAUGCUGGCCAAACCUCCAUGGAUGAGUUUUGAGCUUGAUUUUUGGUUGAUUUUAAUUGAAUUAAGUGAUUUUAGUUAAGUUAUAUUGAAAUAUAGCAAAAAUAAGCUAGAAAUAUAAUUUUCUCCCAUUGAAACCCAUUAUGCCAAAUUUUCUAGGGGAAUAUUGGCUGCUGAUCUUGAUGGUUAUUUGAGGAAUUAUGAUGAAUAAUGAUGAAUUAUGAGCCUAGAAAAAUAAUGGGAAUUUUCGGAGCAAAAAUACGAAUUUUUACCCACUAGGGGUAUUUUCGUAAUUUGCUAUCGGGACUGAUAAUUUGCACCACACUGAGGGACAUUAAGUCAAUUUGGGUGCAAUUGAGGUAUAGAAACUGAAAAAAAUUAAUUUGGAGUUUAAACGGACGCGUAUAUCAAUUUAUCGGGUAAAAGACCGAAAUAGGCUAACACCGCAUUUAGGCAAAAAUUUAGACAUUUUUGCAUUCCAUAUCAAGCAUUAGUAGUCUAAAUUAGUUUAAUUUCAAUUUAGUACCAAUGUGGUGAAUUUCUCGAUUUUGUACUGUGUCAAGGUGGUGAGUCCUCUGAUAAAGGCAAGGGAAUUGCACCCGAGGACCAAUAGUCUGAGUAUUUCGAAAAUCCUCACUCUAGACACGGUGAGUAACCUUACCAUCAUUUUAAUUAUCUAAAGUAUGUUUUUAUUCGGUUUU